CCGACAAGCAUCGACGUCGGCCAUUGGCGCGAGCAAGAACCCCGAUCCUCCUCCGUCUGCCACUACCGCGAGCAAGAACCCCGAUCCUUCACCUACGGGUUGAUGAUUUGCUUCAGAUCACGGAAGCUUGGGUUGAUGGAGUGCUUGUCUUUAGUUUUUGUUUUGACUUUGUGAAACUUGCUACCUAUGAUGAAACUGUGUAAUAUUGAUGAAACUAUGUAUAUGUAUGGAUGAAACUUGCUACUAUUGGUAACAUGUGUUGGAUAUA